CCUACGGGUGGCAGCAGUGGGGAAUAUUGCACAAUGGGGGAAACCCUGAUGCAGCGACGCCGCGUGAGUGAAGAAGUAAUUCGGUAUGUAAAGCUCUAUCAGCAGGGAAGAAAAUGACGGUACCUGAGUAAGAAGCCCCGGCUAACUACGUGCGAGCAGCCGCGGUUAUACGUAGGGGGCAAGCGUUAUCCGGAUUUACUGGGUGUACAGGGAGCGGAGACGGCAGUGCAAGUCUGGAGUGAAAGGCGGGGGCUCAACCCCCGGACUGCUCUUGAAACUGUACGGCUGGAGUGCAGGAGAGGUAAGUGGACUUCCUCGUGUAGCGGUGAAAUGCGUAGAUAUUUGGAGGAACACCAGUGGCGAAGGCGGCUUACUGGACUGUAACUGACGUUGAGGCUCGAAAGCGUGUGGAGCACACAGGAUUAGAUACCCUAGUAGUC
rnacentral:rRNA from 1 species